rnacentral:rRNA from 1 species
AGAGUUUGAUCCUGGCUCAGGACGAACGCUGGCGGUAUGCCUAAUACAUGCAAGUCGAACGAUGAAGCUCUCUGCUUGCAGAGAGUGGAUUAGUGGCGAACGGGUGAGUAACACGUGGGUAACCUGCCCAUAAGAGGGGGAUAACAUCCGGAAACGGAUGCUAAUACCGCAUAGGUCUUUGAGACGCCUGUCUCUUAGAUGAAAGGUGGCUUCGGCUGCCGCUUAUGGAUGGACCCGCGGCGUAUUAGCUAGUUGGUGAGGUAAUGGCUCACCAAGGCUGUGAUACGUAGCCGACCUGAGAGGGUGAUCGGCCACACUGGGACUGAGACACGGCCCAGACUCCUACGGGAGGCAGCAGUAGGGAAUCUUCCACAAUGGGUGCAAACCUGAUGGAGCAAUACCGCGUGAGUGAAGAAGGUCUUCGGAUCGUAAAGCUCUGUUGUUAGAGAAGAACAAGCCGGGUAGUAACUGCCCCGGCCUUGACGGUAUCUAACCAGAAAGUCACGGCUAACUACGUGCCAGCAGCCGCGGUAAUACGUAGGUGACAAGCGUUGUCCGGAUUUAUUGGGCGUAAAGCGAGCGCAGGCGGUCUUUUAAGUCUGAUGUGAAAGCCCACGGCUCAACCGUGGAGGGUCAUUGGAAACUGGAAGACUUGAAUGCAGAAGAGGAAAGUGGAAUUCCAUGUGUAGCGGUGAAAUGCGUAGAUAUAUGGAGGAACACCAGUGGCGAAGGCGACUUUCUGGUCUGUAAUUGACGCUGAGGCUCGAAAGCGUGGGGAGCGAACAGGAUUAGAUACCCUGGUAGUCCACGC